rnacentral:rRNA from 1 species
AUUGAACGCUGGCGGCAGGCCUAACACAUGCAAGUCGAGCGGCAGCGGGAAAGUAGCUUGCUACUUUUGCCGGCGAGCGGCGGACGGGUGAGUAAUGCCUGGGAAAUUGCCCAGUCGAGGGGGAUAACAGUUGGAAACGACUGCUAAUACCGCAUACGCCCUACGGGGGAAAGACGGGGACCUUCGGGCCUUGCGCGAUUGUAUAUGCCCAGGUGGGAUUAGCUAGUUGGUGAGGUAAUGGCUCACCAAGGCGACGAUCCCUAGCUGGUCUGAGAGGAUGAUCAGCCACACUGGAACUGAGACACGGUCCAGACUCCUACGGGAGGCAGCAGUGGGGAAUAUUGCACAAUGGGGGAAACCCUGAUGCAGCCAUGCCGCGUGUGUGAAGAAGGCCUUCGGGUUGUAAAGCACUUUCAGCGAGGAGGAAAGGUUGAUGCCUAAUACGUAUCAACUGUGACGUUACUCGCAGAAGAAGCACCGGCUAACUCCGUGCCAGCAGCCGCGGUAACAC